CCGCCCCUGCGCACUGGGCAUGCCCGCGCCGCCCAGGCUGCUUCCGGAGCCCGACCCCGCCGCCCGCGGCCCGGCACCAUGGAGCGCAUCGAGGAGGCGGCCGUGGGCCCCUGCGCAGCCUCCCCUUACCUGCGGCCUCUCACGAUGCGUUACCGCCAGAAUGGCAUCCAGAAGUCAUGGGACUUCAUGAAGACACACGACAGUGUGGCUGUCCUGCUGUUCAACACCUCUCAGCGUAGCCUGGUGCUGGUGAGGCAGUUCCGGCCAGCUGUGUAUGCAGGCGAGGUGGAGCGCCACUUCCCAGGAGCUCUGGCUGUGGGGCAGGAUGCCCCCCGGGCACUGCCCAGCCUGCCUGGCUCUGUGGGAGUGACCCACGAGCUGUGUGCAGGGCUAGUGGACCGGCCAGGACUAUCGCUGGAGGAGGCAGCGUGUGAGGAGGUGUGGGAGGAGUGUGGCUACCGCCUGGUACCCUCAGCCCUGCGCCGAGUGGCCACCUACAAUCCUUAGAGAAUGUGCUGGACAAGAUAGGUUUCAUAGCCGGGACAGCUGUGCCUGCGGGUCGAGUGGACACAUGGCACUCACGUGCCACCCUUACGGGGACAAGGCCAGGAAGGCCCAGGCGCUGUGUGAUGUCAUCGGCAGAGGACCUUGCUGAGCGCCGGCAGCAGAGCCCAGUGGGCCGGCGUGGGAGUGACCUGCUCCAGCCAGACCAUGUUCUACGCUGAGGUGACCAACAGCCAGCGGCAGGGCCCAGGCGGGGGCCUGGAGAAGGAAGGCGAGCUCAUCCAGGUGGUGCACCUGCCUCUG